CAGCAGCAGCCGCGGUAAUACAGAGGGUGCGAGCGUUAAUCGGAUUUACUGGGCGUAAAGCGUGCGUAGGCGGCUUCUUAAGUCGGAUGUGAAAUCCCUGAGCUUAACUUAGGAAUUGCAUUCGAUACUGGGAAGCUAGAGUAUGGGAGAGGAUGGUAGAAUUCCAGGUGUAGCGGUGAAAUGCGUAGAGAUCUGGAGGAAUACCGAUGGCAAAGGCAGCCAUCUGGCCUAAUACUGACGCUGAGGUACGAAAGCAUGGGGAGCAAACAGGAUUAGAUACCCCGGUAGUCCCUGUCUCUUAUAC
rnacentral:rRNA from 1 species